CGCGUGAGGAACCUGCCUCAAAGAGGGGGACAACAGUUGGAAACGACUGCUAAUACCGCAUAAGCCCACGGCUCGGCAUCGAGCAGAGGGAAAAGGAGCAAUCCGCUUUGAGAUGGCCUCGCGUCCGAUUAGCUAGUUGGUGAGGUAAGGCCCACCAAGGCGACGAUCGGUAGCCGGACUGAGAGGUUGAACGGCCACAUUGGGACUGAGACACGGCCCAG
rnacentral:rRNA from 1 species